GAUGAACGCUGGCGGCGUGCCUAAUACAUGCAAGUCGAGCGAACAGACGAGGAGCUUGCUCCUCUGACGUUAGCGGCGGACGGGUGAGUAACACGUGGAUAACCUACCUAUAAGACUGGGAUAACUUCGGGAAACCGGAGCUAAUACCGGAUAAUAUAUUGAACCGCAUGGUUCAAUAGUGAAAGACGGUUUUGCUGUCACUUAUAGAUGGAUCCGCGCCGCAUUAGCUAGUUGGUAAGGUAACGGCUUACCAAGGCAACGAUGCGUAGCCGACCUGAGAGGGUGAUCGGCCACACUGGAACUGAGACACGGUCCAGACUCCUACGGGAGGCAGCAGUAGGGAAUCUUCCGCAAUAGGCGAAAGCCUGACGGAGCAACGCCGCGUGAGUGAUGACGGUCUUCGGAUCGUAAAACUCUGUUAUUAGGGAAGAACAAAUGUGUAAGUAACUAUGCACGUCCUGACGGUACCUAAUCAGAAAGCCACGGCUAACUACGUG
rnacentral:rRNA from 1 species